AUUGAACGCUGGCGGCAGGCCUAACACAUGCAAGUCGAACGAGUGGCGGACGGGUGAGUAAUGUCUGGGAAACUGCCUGAUGGAGGGGGAUAACUACUGGAAACGGUAGCUAAUACCGCAUACCAUCAGAUGUGCCCAGAUGGGAUUAGCUUGUUGGUGGGGUAACGGCUCACCAAGGCGACGAUCCCUAGCUGGUCUGAGAGGAUUACCGGCCACACUGGAACUGUGACACGGUCGAGACUCCUACGGGAGUCAGCAGUGGGGAAUAUUGCACAAUGGGCGCAAGCCUGAUCCAGCCAUGCCGCGUGUGUGAAGAAGGUCUUCGGAUUGUAAAGCACUUGAAGUUUGGAGGCGUUACCGACAGAAUAAGCACCGGCUAACUGCGUGCCAGCAGCCGCGGUAAUUC
rnacentral:rRNA from 1 species